rnacentral:misc_RNA from 1 species
GAUGAAGAACGCAGCGAAAUGCGAUACUUGGUGUGAAUUGCAGAAUCCCGAGAACCAUCGAGUCUUUGAACGCAAGUUGCGCCUCAAGCCAUUAGGUUGAGGGCACGUCUGCCUGGGCGUCACAUAUCGUUGCCUGAUGCCAGUUUCCUCGUGAUGGGUGACUGUGCAGGGCGAAUGAUGGCUUCCCGUGAGCAUUGUUGCCUCAUGGUUGGUUGAAAAUUGAGUCCUUGGUAGGGAGCGCCGUGAUAGAUGGUGGUUGAGUGACGAACGAGACCCAAUCAUGUGAGACCCCUACCGAAUUUGGCCUUCAUGACCCACAUGCGUCUUUGGAACGCUCAUGACGAGACCUCAGGUCAGGCGGGGCUAACCGCUGAGUUUAAGCAUAUCAAUAAGCGGAGGA